rnacentral:rRNA from 1 species
GAUGAACGCUGGCGGCGUGCCUAAUACAUGCAAGUCGAGCGAACAGACGAGGAGCUUGCUCCUCUGACGUUAGCGGCGGACGGGUGAGUAACACGUGGAUCACCUACCUAUAAGUCUGGGAUAACUUCGGGAAACCGGAGCUAAUACCGGAUAAUAUAUUGAACCGCAUGGUUCAAUAGUGAAAGACGGUUUUGCUGUCACUUAUAGAUGAAUCCGCGCCGCAUUAGCUAGUUGGUAAGGUAACGGCUUACCAAGGCAACGAUGCGUAGCCGAGUUGAGAGAGUGAUCGGCCACACUGGAACUGAGACACGGUCCAGACUCCUACGGGAGGCAGCAGUAGGGAAUCUUCCGCAAUGGGCGAAAGCCUGACGGAGCAACGCCGCGUGAGUGAUGAAGGUCUUCGGAUCGUAAAACUCUGUUAUUAGGGAAGAACAAAUGUGUAAGUAACUAUGCACGUCUUGACGGUACCUAAUCAGAAAGCCACGGCUAACUACGUG